rnacentral:rRNA from 1 species
AUGGACGCCGACACGUCGCGCCAGGUGCGCGUGCGCUUCAUCACGAAGCUGCCGCCUCCGCUCCGCGCGCCGCCCACCGCCAUCGCGGUCCCCGCCGAGCUCUCCCGCAUGGGCCUCUCCGAGAUCGUCAACAGCCUCCUCCUCUCCGCCGAGCCGGACCACCAGGCGCAGCCCUUCGACUUCAUCGUGGAUGGCGAGCUCGUGCGGAUGCCGCUCCAUCAGUUCCUGCUCGCCAAGGGCAUCUCGGCGGAGCGGGUGCUUGAGCUCGAGUACAUAAAGGCCGUGGCGCCGAGGAAGCAGGAGCCACCAUUACCACACGAUGACUGGGUUAGCGCGGUUGAUGGGUCCAACCCAAGCUUCAUAUUAACAGGUUGCUAUGAUGGUCUUGCAAGAAUAUGGAAAGAUGCAGCUGAAUGUACUCAAGUUUUGGAGGGACACAGUGGUGCAAUUACUUCUGCCAGCUUCAUCAAUAAAGGAGUUGAAACUGAUGGCAGUUUGCAUGUUGUGACUGGCUCAAAGGAUAGGUCAUUGCGCCUGUUCAAGUUUGAUACUUCAGUCACCAUCGGCUCCUCGAAGCGAAUUGGAGCUUACAAAAUUCUUCCUGGUCAUACAUCAUCUAUUCAAAGUAUUGCUGUUGACCCUUCCAGAAAUAUGAUAUGUUCUGCUUCCUGGGAUACCACUAUUAAGCUAUGGGCAGUCGAAGGAUCUGAAGAAGAUGGCGACACCGUCUCUGUGAAAAAGAGAAGGAUGAACUCUGAUGAAUCUGGACCUGAAGAGUCUCAGUUAGAGGGUUCAGCAUCUUCAACACUUCUGGGACAUACACAAUGUGUUUCUUCUGUUGCUUGGCCUGAGCAGCGAACAAUAUAUUCGGCAUCUUGGGAUCAUUCUAUUCGGCAGUGGGAUGCUCAAACAGGGAGAGAAACAUGGAAUAUGUUUUGUGGGAAGGCCUUGAAUUGUUUGGACUGUGGUGGAGAGGGCUCUUCACUGAUUGCAGCUGGUGGUUCUGACCCUGUAUUGAGGGUAUGGGAUCCCCGCAAACCUGGAACGACAGCUCCUAUUUUUCAGUUCUCUUCACACUCAAGCUGGAUCUCCGCCUGCAAAUGGCAUCCAAGUUCCUGGUUUCAUUUGAUAUCAUCCUCGUUUGAUGGGAAAGUGAUGUUGUGGGAUCUAAGAACAGCUUGGCCUCUGGCUUCUGUGGACUCCCACAAAGAUAAGGUUUUAUGCGCCGAUUGGUGGAAAGGAGACAGCGUGAUAAGUGGUGGAGCUGAUUCCAAGCUGUGUAUCUCAUCAGGGGUUGAGAUAGCGUGA